rnacentral:rRNA from 1 species
GACGAACCGUGCGAACGUUGUUCGGAAUCACGGGGCUUAAAGGGCGCGUAGGCGGCCCGCCGCGUCCGGGGUGAAAUCCUCCCGCUCAACGGGAGAACGGCCUCGGAUACGGGCGGGCUGGAGGCGGGUAGGGGCGGGCGGAACUGUGGGUGGAGCGGUGAAAUGCGUUGAUAUCCACAGGAACUCCGGUGGCGAAGGCGGCCCGCUGGACCCGAUCUGACGCUGAGGCGCGAAAGCCAGGGGAGCGAACGGG